CUAAAAUAACAAUAAUAAUAACCUUCAAACAUUUACGAUUCAAGUGCAUUCAAAAUACAACAAAUAGCUAAACCAGCGCAUCUUUUGUGAAUAACUUAAAUCAUUUUACUGUAUAUACGCUUCGCUUUUCUAUUAAACUAAAUACAAAUUGUGCUAAAUAAUGAAAAUGAAAGUCUCUAAACCUUCUAAUGCAACAACUACUAUAAAAUCUAUUUAAUUUUCUAUUGCAAACUAACAAAAAACAAAAAUUUAAAU